UGUGACAACCAGCAUUUGGUGUCCCAAGGUACAUACGUUGUCCUGCUGAUGGCGAAAGGAUCUCAAGCUCGAUCUGCUUUUUAUCAGCAUUCCAACUGAUGAUUUUUCCCUCCUUCAUAAAGCAACAAAGAAAGAAUCGGAUCCCUGAUGAUGCCACCUGUACCCAGAGAGUGUUUCUUCAGCAAGAGGAAAGUGCACAAAUCAGGUUUCCCACUCCUGGAUCCUGAUGCAAAUCACAGGCCCAGACAGACUUCCAGGACUUACAGUUCCAAAGGAUUUAGUUCAGGUCAGGCUGUGAGAGGAGAUCAGAGAUGGAUCCCGGUCUCCUCAACCACAGUGAUUUAUUUCAUUUCCAUUCACUUUUUUAUUCUGCAGUAAAUUAUUUGUAUGGUAAAAUUUGCAAUAAUAUUAUAGAAACACUACAGAGAAAUAACGUAGAGGUAGCUUUCCUUUUUAUAGCACCUAAUUUUAAUGCUGACUUUCCUUGCAACUUUUAAAAACGAACAAUUAAGUAGAAAGAAGACUCCUUCCCAACUGUCGCACUUCUAAGGUAACAUCCCAGAACAAUGCAAGAUGAAGUUCAUCAGUGUAAGCAUUUUGAUGUCAGGACUAUGUGAUCUGUAUCAUGUCCUGCAAAACUUACAGUGGCCCAAAUGAAACCAUUUUAGCCCACUAACAUUCAGUAUUUCACAAGUUCUUUACCUUAAAGGCAAUUCUUUCUCCCACUUGUGGUGGAGCAGCUAGAAGAGGUAACACACUAUAGUCUCUCUUGGGGACCUCCACGGGAUUCUGUGGAACAAGCAGUAAAUCCACUGAUUUAAUUACUGCAUUAUUAAACUGGAAGGCAAAGUAA